AAUUGAGAAAUCUCGAAAAAUAAGAUCAUUAUAACCAAGUUCUAUAAUAUUUCUAAAUUUUAUUUCCUACAUUUCAAAUCAAAGUUUCUUAAAACCGAAAGCUUUGAUUGUCAAAUCUGGAUUGAAUCCAGGUACAAAUAUAGGCCUAGUCUUCCCUCUUUAGGAUAACAAGGUUAAGAGUCAGUAAUUUCUCCUUCAAAUAUUUUUCCUUGUUAAUUUAAAAUAUAUUAUGAAAUCUGUUUUGAAGAAAAGAGCUAGGAAAACAUCUUUGAGACCAGCAUCCAUUCCAGUAGGAUUUAAAUUACUAGAAAGAAUUCAUUAUUAUUUCAAAGACGAACUGUAUGCUGCGUUGCCCUAUAUAUGUUUAAUCAUCUUUAGCUGCGUCACUCUAUUUAUUUUCUUAACGUCAUAUAUUGCUACCAAUCAGCAGUUGGGAUUCAAAACUCGUCGAAAGGUAAUAGUACUGUAAUUUUAAAUUAAGCAUCAAAUGUAUACUUUCAAUUAUAAAUGCAAUUACAAAUACUGGCACUUUUCUUUUUUUAGCUAAGUUUUUUUUAUUUAGAAAAGCG
rnacentral:lncRNA from 1 species